CAGUAGCCGCGGUAAUACGAAGGGGGCUAGCGUUGCUCGGAAUUACUGGGCGUAAAGGGAGCGUAGGCGGACAUUUAAGUCAGGGGUGAAAUCCCAGAGCUCAACUCUGGAACUGCCUUUGAUACUGGGUGUCUUGAGUGUGAUAGAGGUAUGUGGAACUCCGAGUGUAGAGGUGAAAUUCGUAGAUAUUCGGAAGAACACCAGUGGCGAAGGCGACAUACUGGAUCAUUACUGACGCUGAGGCUCGAAAGCGUGGGGAGCAAACAGGAUUAGAGACCCCGGUAGUCCCUGUCUCUUAUAC
rnacentral:rRNA from 1 species